rnacentral:piRNA from 1 species
UAAGACAGAGCCAUCUGGGAGGAUGGAGAC